rnacentral:rRNA from 1 species
GACGAACGCUGGCGGCGUGCUUAACACAUGCAAGUCGAACGGAAAGGCCCUGCUUUUGUGGGGUGCUCGAGUGGCGAACGGGUGAGUAACACGUGAGUAACCUGCCCUUGACUUUGGGAUAACUUCAGGAAACUGGGGCUAAUACCGGAUAGGAGCUCCUGCUGCAUGGUGGGGGUUGGAAAGUUUCGGCGGUUGGGGAUGGACUAGCGGCUUAUCAGCUUGUUGGUGGGGUAGUGGCUUACCAAGGCUUUGACGGGUAGCCGGCCUGAGAGGGUGACCGGCCACAUUGGGACUGAGGUACGGCCCAGACUCCUACGGGAGGCAGCAGUGGGGAAUAUUGCACAAUGGGCGGAAGCCUGAUGCAGCAACGCCGCGUGCGGGAUGACGGCCUUCGGGUGGUAAACCGCUUUCGCCUGUGACGAAGAGUGAGUGACGGUAAUGGGUAAAGAAGCACCGGCUAACUACGUG